CAACACUGGUCUUCACCCUCCGGUGGAUUCUCCUCCUGUACACCGCAGCAGUGGAGGAAUCUUCCAUCAUUCCUGACGCCAUCCGCCCUGCACUCGGACGCUUCAAAGGCUCUUCUCUCACGUCUGCUUCUGGAGUUCUAAGCUCACCUGUGCAUCUGGCGGCCCACUCAAAUAUUCUACCUUCCUAAUAAACACUUUAAUUGUGA